AUUUCCAAGCACCCAAGGCCUCUAGUAACCAGCAGCACAGUUCCAAUCGAAGGCAAAGCCAAGGCCAGGGGAAGGGAAAAGACAGCCAAUGAGGCGGGGUUACCUAAAAAAAUUAUACCGAUACUGAGUUUCCUUCUGAACUUCGUCACCCAGCUUAUUUGCAACGAAAUCCUCUCUGUCGACCACCAGGAACUCUGUCUCCUCCAUGCAGACCACCGUGGCACUCCUCACUGCUGUGUUCAGAAGGCCCAUUUCCUGGGGAAAGCAAGGACAAGGGCAGGUGUGACUCCACACUCAGUCCUGCGUCCAUCUUCCCUGCCUCUGGCCCCGUCUAAAAGUCCCCCUUGGCCCCCUCCAGACUCCCAUUCACCCUCCCACCCUUUAUCUGUAUGUGGGAAAGAGACACAGGUCUGAACAGGCCAGAGCCGAGGGAGUGGAGAGGCCUCGGUGGAGUCUAUGGCAUCCCAGUGUCUAUGAAGGGGGAAAAGGCAAACACGGAUGGAGAGAUGCGAAUAGUCCUACUCAUCAGCAUUUGACAGGGUCCCUGAGUCUCAGAAGCAGGGGCUGUUCACCUCACUGACCUUUCGAAGCGUAUGACCUUGGCCAGGAGCAGCUGCAGAGACUCUGUGUAGUUGCGGUAGCAAUCUAGAGCCUGUAGAAUGUUGCAGAGGUCUUGGAUCUCCUGGGGGGUCCUCCAGGACGGCUUCUUCUGUGUGAUAGAAAUGGCCCUCGGAGGGAAGUGACCCUGGGAAGACAUGGCCAGAGGACUCCAGCAGGCGACUCUCCACAUCGUUGCCUGCACGCUCACCCGUUCUACGCACGGGAGUGGCUGACACGGACUAAGGGUUGUGUGCUAACCAUCAGAGUGAGCAUCUUACACACCCAUCUCACAACAUCUUCAUCCAGCCUGAGAAUCAUUUCCAUUUGGAUGAAGGAACUCAGAAAGCAGCCACUAAUGAAGGGACAUGAAGGUCGUCUCUGGGAGAGCCACGUAAGAGGACCCACACCUCCAAGGGGUAGGGUGGGGCAAUGGAACGGGUACAGCAUUGUUAGUACCAAUUACAAAGUUCUGUUCUCUCUCUUUCCUCAGAGAAGAGCCCAAAUGGGUCAGACCCGGGUGGCGUCAGGUCUGAGAGAGUGAGACUGUGACUGGCUGCUAUAAAUAGACAGGCCCCUUUAACUUUAAAGUUGGAUAUUAAAUAAGGAUUUACUAUCUGGGAUUUGGUGGUCAGGAGAGAGGAAAGAAGUAAUGGUGCUGGAGUUGAAAGACCGCACACAUCACACAGGCCAAAAGACCCAUACAGAUAAAGCCCUUCUCAUGUCAGAAUGGGACUGCAGCUUAAAGAACACCCAACAUAGGGGGCCAUGAAUACUGACAUCCCUCAGAGAGUUCAGGGCCAAACCAGAAUUCACCAACAGGCCAAGGGGUUUCCCACCACCUGGCUUUCUUGUCCUCUGGCAGAGCGUCCUGUAUCCUCUGUUUUGCUUUCUGCUGUUUUUCCAUAAGUCCAAGCCCAGAAACUCUCCCAGAUCGGCUCUUCUCAGUGAAACAGUGGUAACAGUUGAUAUGCCAGGGACAGGGGACAGGAUCACUGUGAUUAGAACUGAGUGGCCACUUCAGAGCACCACUGGUGCUGGCAGAACUUGAACUAAAACCAGCUAUGUCCGGUGCUUCCUCGGGCUGAAGCAGACAAAUGAGUAGACACACCCAGAUACACACACACACAACACACACACACACACACACACACAUGGAAAAGUCAGUGCUCCACACACCUCCUCUGCAGCAAAGUCCUCAGUAUCAAACGAGAUGCGGCCUUGCUUCCUUUUCUGAAAGAAAGGACCCAGAGAAAGGAAAAUCAGUAAAAAUGCCCCUGGAGUUCUACACCAGAAGCCCUUCUAUCGACCCAGGCCACUCUGGUGAAUGGCAACCCGUGGCAAAUCUCCCAAGAGCCGUUUUGUUGCCACCUCCUCUCAAAAACCCCAGCUCUGCCCUAUGUUAGCAUCAACAACAUCCUGUGAAGGCAGUGGCACGUGGUAGAGAGAAGGAAACGGCAUCAGGGAAAGAAGAAAAAGGGAAAAAGGGAAGAGGGGAAAGAAGUGGACAGAUCGGAUAGCGCCGAGGCGGGGAAAGGAGGCACCAAGAGGGGAUGGGUGAAGUCAAGCUUUGUUAAGUUUCCAUAGCAAGUCAAACAUGGCCCAUCUUCGAUCUAUCGCUCUACUCCGUCAACAGAACAAAAUUGGUUUUAUCAAGUCCCAUACAAUCGUCGGCUGGGCUGGCACAGUCAUGCCCACUGGAAACGGCAAGAAUCAUAAAGCCAGCCCAGCUGUCUGACAAAGAAGGUCCAGCGUAGCUGAGCCAGACGAUGCUGUCGCUGUCCUUCUGUCUAAGGCCUCUGCGUGGUAUGUUCUUGGGGACUUUCUGUAUUAGGAUUCAGUUCAUGUCUUUUCCCAAGAAAACUGUGUCCGGGUUUUUCUAGGAAAAGUCUUACCUACUUAAACUUCUGCUUCUAACUUUCUCUGGCCUGCUUGGAAGUCUUUAUGCCCAGGAGAUCAUUAAGUACAGGGAAGCACCAGUAAGCUGGGACUCCUAAAUGAGGCCAUGACUCCAGAAAUCUUGUCUGCCCCCAAACAAACUCAAACAGUAAGACUGGUGCAGGGUAAAUAGAAACAACUGACCAACUCUGCCCAGCCAGGAGACCAGGUUACAGAUUCAAGGCCCCACCUUGUGUUCCUCUGAGGGCUCUCUGAAUAUGUAGUUUAAAGAUAGGGGGGUCAUACAAGGUACAGCCCCGGAGGAAUAGAACUCAGGAAACAAAAGAUUCUCAAAAAUAAACUUUCUCGACUUUAUAGUAGGCAGAGGACAAAACAACAGAGUAAUGGAAAUUGGGUAUUCAGAUUUGCUAUUCAUAAAAAGACCUGUCCUGAUAUUUACUGUUUGUCUGGGGUACUUUAAAACUGCAAAUUCUGCCAUCCUAAACGCCAGGCUGUUCAUAUAAUAAAUGUGUUUGCUUUGGAGGGGAUAUUCUUUAAAUUGGAAUUAUAGGGCUGGUAAUAAAAAUAAAAUCUGUUCUGUUUGUAUUUUC
ensembl:antisense